rnacentral:pre_miRNA from 1 species
CAAGUACUCCCUCCGUACGGAAUUACUUGUCAUCAAAAUGGAUGUGUCUAGAACUAAAAUACAUCUAGAUACAUCCAUUUCAAUGACAAGUAUUUUCGGACGGAGGCAGUACAAG